GCAGUAGCUGAGUGAGCCCAUGAACAUGGAGAUGGAAGCUAGAGAUACAGAUGAUUCACCAAGAAUUACUCAGAACUCUGUGAUCAAUGGGAACGUGGCCCUGAGUGACAAACACAACAACUCGGAGGAGGACAUGGAAGACGACACCAGUUGGCGCUCUGCGGCAACCCUUCAGUUCACUGUGGAGGGCUUCAGCAGACUGGGUGAGUUGGUCCUAAAUCUGCCAUGGAAAAUUAUGCUGAUGCCACGCUUUUAUCCAGACAGACCACACCAAAAAAGCGUAGGAUUCUUUCUCCAGUGCAAUGCUGAAUCUGAUUCCACGUCGUGGUCUUGUCAUGCACAAGCAGUGCUGAAGAUAAUAAAUUAGAGAUGAUGAAAAAUCGUUCAGUCAUCAUAUUAGUCAUUUGUUCUUCCAUAAAGAAAACGACUGGGGAUUUUCUGAUUUUAUGGCCUGGAGUGAAGUGACUGAUCCUGAGAAAGGAUUUAUAGAUGAUGACAAAGUUACCUUUGAAGUCUUUGUACAGGCGAUGCUCCCCACGGAGUUGCCUGGGAUUCAAAGCAGCACACAGGCUAUGUGGGCUUAAAGAAUCAGGGAGCAACUUGUUAUAUGAACAGCUUUCUACCGACUUUAUUUUUCACAAAUCAGCUAGGAAAGGCUAUGUACAUGGUACCAAGCAAGGGGUAUGAUUCAUCUAAAAACGUCCCUUUAGCAUUACAAAGAGUAAUCUAUGAAUUAUAGCAUAGUGAUAAACCCAUAGGAACAAAAAAGUUAGCAAAGUCAUUUGGGUGGGAAACUUUAGACACUUCAUGCAACACAAUGUUCAGGAGCUUUGUCAAGUGUUGCUUCAUAAUGUGGAACAUAAGAUGAAAGGCACCUGUGUAGAGGGCACCAUACCCAGAUUAUCCGUGGUAAAAUGGUGUCCUAUAUCUAGUGUAAAGAAGUGGACUAUCAGUCUGAUAGAAGAGAAGAUUAUUAUGAUAUCCAUCAAAGUAUCAAAGGACAGAAAAACAUAUUUGAUUCAUUUGUGGAUUAUGUGGCAGUAGAACAGCUCACUGGGGACAAUAUGACACUGGGGAACAUGGCUUACAGGAAGCAGAAGAAGGUGUGAAAUUCCUAACACUGCCACCAGUGUUACAUCUAUAACUGAUGGGGUUUAUGUAUGACCCUCAGAUGGACCAAAAUAUCAAGAUCAAUGAUAAGUUUGAAUUCCCAGAGCAUUUACCACGUGACGAAUUUUUUCAAAAAGCAGAUCCUAAGGACCCUGCAAAUUAUAUUCUUCAUGCAGUCCUGGUUCAUAGUGGAGAUAAUCAUGGUGGACAUCAUGUGGUUUAUCCAAACCCCAAAGGGGAUGGCAAAUGGUGUAAAUUUGAUGAUGAUGUAGUGUCAGGGUGUACUAAAGAGGAAGCAGUUGAGCACAAUUAUGGGGGUCAUGAUGAUGACCUGUCUGUCUGACACUACACUAAUGCUUACAUGUUAGUCUAUAUCAGGGAAUCAAAACUGAGUGAAGUUUUACAGGCGGUCACUGACCAUGAUAUUCCUGAACAGUUGGUGGAUCAAUUACAAGAAGAGAAAAGGAUCAAGGCUCAGAAGCAGAAGGAGCGGCAGGAAGCCCAUCUCUAUAUGCAAGUGCAGAUAGUCACAGAGGACCAGUUUUGUGGCCACCAAGGAAAUGACAUGUACGAUGAAGAAAAAGUGAAAUACAAAGGGUUCAAAGUAUUGAAGAACUCCUCAACUGCCGAGUUUGUUCAGAACCUCUCUCAGACCAUGGGAUUUCCACAAGAUCAAAUUUGAUUGUGGCUCAUGCAAGCAAGGAGUAAUGGAACAAAAUUGCCAGCAAUGUUAGAUAAUGAAGCCAGUGGCAGUAAAACAAUGAUUGAGCUCAGUGAUAACUUGGACAACAUUCCUGGAAACAGUCAAACCUGAGCUGGCUGCUAGUGGAGUGACUUUACCCAAGUUUGAUAAAGAUCAUGAUGUAAUGUUAUUUUUGAAGAUGUAUGAUCCCAAAACAUGGAGCUUUAAGUACUGUGGGCAUAUCAACACACCAAUAUCCUGUAAAAUGCAUGACUUGCUCCCAGUUAUGUGUGACAGAGCAGGAUUUAUUCAAGAUACUAGCCUUAUUCUCUAUAAGGAAGUUAAACAGAAUUUAACAGAGAGAAUUCAGGACUAUCACAUGUCUCUUGAUAAAGCCCUUGAUGAACAAAUGGAUGGUGACAUCAUAGUAUUUCAGAAGAGUGACCCUGAAAAUGAUAACAGUGAAUUACCCACCACAAAGGAAUAUUUCCGAGAUCUCUACUACCAUGUUGAUGUCAUUUUCUGUGAUAAAACAAUCCCUAAUGAUCCUGGAUUUGUGGUUACAUUAUCAAAUAGAAUGAAUUAUUUUCAGGUUGCACAGACAGUUGCGCAGAGACACCAAACAGACCCAAUGUUGCUCCAGUUUUUCAAGUUUCAAGGUAAUAGGGAUGGCCUCCCUUAGACAUAAUUAUGAAGGUACUUUAAGAGAUCUUCUAUAAUUCUUCAAGGCUAGACAACCUAAGAAACUUUACUAUCAGCAGCUUAAGAUGAAAAUCACAGACUUUGAGAACUGGCAAAGUUUUAAAUGUAUAUGGUUAAACAGCCAAUUUAGGGAAGAAGAAAUAAUGCUAUAUCCAGACAAGCAGGACCAGGACCUGUUAGAAGAAUAUCCUAUGUCCAGGAACUGUUAGAAGAAUGUAAAAAGGCUGUGGAACCUGGGGAGAAGGCAUCAGGGAAACUUAGCCUGCUAGAAAUCGUAAGUUACAAAAUCAUUGGUGUCCAUCAAGAAGAUGAACUGUUAGAAUGUUUAUCUCCUGCAACGAGAGGACGUUUCAAAUAAAAAAAUCCCUUUGGACCAGAUGGACAUAGACAAAGAGAAGGAGAUGCUUGUCACAGUGGCACAUUUCCACAAAGAGGUCUUUGGAAUGUUUGGAAUCCCAUUUUUGCUGAGGAUACACCAAUGCGAACAUUUUCAAGAAGUGAUGAAGCGAAUCCAGAGCCUGCUGGACAUCCGGGAGAAGGAGUCUGAGAAGUUUAAAUCUGCAGUUGGAGUGACGGGCCAAUGCCAGUACAUAAAUAAAGAUGAGCAUGAAGUAAAUGUGAAAGACUUUGAGUCAUAACCCAUUAACAUGUCUUAUCUUCAUGCCUUGACUAAGGCUCAGUCACUUCAACAAAGCCCCAAAGAGUCAUUGCUACACUGACCUUGAAAAGGUCAUUAAAAUCCAUAACUGA